GUGCUCACUUUGGCAACACAUAUGUGAAAACUGGAUGACACAGAGAUUAGCAAGGCUCCCACACAAGGAUGACAUGCAAAUCUGUGAAAUGCUCUGUAUUUUA
rnacentral:snRNA from 1 species